rnacentral:rRNA from 1 species
AGAGGGGAAUAACGGCUGGAAACGGUCGCUAAUACCGCAUAACAUACCGGGAGGACAUCCUGCUGGUAUCAAAGAUUUUAUCGCUCGAAGAUGGGCUCGCGUCCGAUUAGGUAGUUGGUGAGGUAACGGCUCACCAAGCCGACGAUCGGUAGCCGGACUGAGAGGUUGAACGGCCACAUUGGGACUGAGACACGGCCCAGACUCCUACGGGAGGCAGCAGUGGGGGAUAUUGCACAAUGGGGGAAACCCUGAUGCAGCGACGCCGCGUGUGGGAAGACGGUCCUCUGGAUUGUAAACCACUGUCCCCAGGGACGAAGAUGACGGUACCUGGGGAGGAAGCUCCGGCUAACUACGUGCCAGCAGCCGCGGUAAUACGUAGGGAGCGAGCGUUGUCCGGAAUUACUGGGUGUAAAGGGAGCGUAGGCGGGGAUGCAAGUUGGGUGUCAAAACUACCGGCUCAACUGGUAGUCGCACUCAAAACUGCAGCUCUUGAUUGAAGUAGAGGCAGGCGGAAUUCCUAGUGUAGCGGUGAAAUGCGUAGAUAUUAGGAGGAACACCAGUGGCGAAGGCGGCCUGCUGGGCUUUUACUGACGCUGAGGCU